GAUGAACGCUGGCGGCGUGCCUAAUACAUGCAAGUCGAGCGAACAGACGAGGAGCUUGCUCCUCUGACGUUAGCGGCGGACGGGUGAGUAACACGUGGAUAACCUACCUAUAAGACUGGGAUAACUUCGGGAAACCGGAGCUAAUACCGGAUAACAUGUUUAACCGCAUGGUUCAACAGUGAAAGACGGUCUUGCUGUCACUUAUAGAUGGAUCCGCGCCGCAUUAGCUAGUUGGUAAGGUAACGGCUUACCAAGGCAACGAUGCGUAGCCGACCUGAGAGGGUGAUCGGCCACACUGGAACUGAGACACGGUCCAGACUCCUACGGGAGGCAGCAGUAGGGAAUCUUCCGCAAUGGGCGAAAUCCUGACGGAGCAACGCCGCGUGAGUGAAGAAGGUAUUCGGAUCGUAAAACUCUGUUAUUAGGGAAGAACAAAUGUGUAAGUAACUAUGCACGUCUUGACGGUACCUAAUCAGAAAGCCACGGCUAACUACGUG
rnacentral:rRNA from 1 species